UCUUGGUCUGGGUUUUUGCGUUUCGGUUGUUUUCUUCAUGAUAACUUACACAUUGAUCAUCAGACCAAAACCGAAGGGAAAGACAUCGAACAUAAUUGCAAAUAAGUAUGUUAUAAAACUAUAUCAGGGGCUUGAUAAAAACGUUUUAGCACACAAUGAAUUGCACAAGUGCAAGAAACCUAUGAAAACGCGCAGUACAUACGAAAUGCUAACAAGUUGAGUUGGAUCACUGAAUCACUAAUUUCCUCUCCGAAGACAAAUACAACUAUUCUAGCAUUCUAUUCAUUGUACAAACAGAUUGAAAUUCGUAAUUUGUUUGACCUUUAUUUAACUAGGCAAGUCAGUUAAGGACAUUGGUGGCGAAAUAUCGCCUAUAUUUCCUGUUAAUGCAGCUAAUGUUGCAUUUACGGCAGAUAGCCUAGUGGUUAGAGCGUUGGACUAGUAACUGAAAGCUCGAAUUCCCCAGCUGACAAGGUAGAAAUCUGUCGUUCUGCUCCUGAACAAGGCAGUUAACCCACUGUUCCUAGGCCGUAUUUGAAAAUAAUAAUUUGUUCUUAACUGACUUGCCUAGUUAAAUAAAGGUAAAAUAAUUUACGAAUUUCAAUCUGUUUGUACAAUAGUUGUAUUUGUCUUUAGAGAGGAAAUGAGUGAUUCAGUGAUCCAACUCAACUUGUCAAUCGACCACUAUUAAAUGCCCCAGCUCUAUGUGAUUGGUCAUGGUGGUGUCACUCUAACCCUGCUUCCGAGUCCAAUCACACGAUGAGCUGCACCCCCUCACAGCCAGAGAGAAAGAGCUGCAGGAGCUGAGGCAGUUUGACUGGCGGUGUGGACCCUGCACAGGUAUCAGUCGUUUGCAGCGGUGGGAGAGAGCUGCACAGCAUGGGUUAAACCCCCCUCAGGAGAUCAGAUAUAUGCUGUUUAGCGCAGACACAGACUACACACACUGUCUGUCGAGUGACUAUCCAUUGUGAGAAAUGGAAAGAGGAGAGACAGAGAAGAUAAAAGUAGAAUGUCCAAAGUUCAGGUGGUUUUGCUUUUGUUUAGUUCAGGUUUGACUGCUAACCAUCACACUACACGUUUUUAUUAAAAUACCCUUUUCUACAAAAAACAUCACUUUUUAUUAGGUCUGACACACACAUACACACACACACACACACACCACUGCCUCUUUUGAGACAUUUACAUACAUAUUUGUAAAGGUAACCCAUUUCAAACUAAUCAAUUUAAAUUGUAUAUGUACCAGAGUGAGGAAGAGAGAGAGAGAGAGGGACAGUCAGAUGUAGCUAUUACCUGCUUAUGUUGUGUCGACAGUGACACAUUCUAUUAUACAGCAAUCCUUAGAACUCAGGACAGCCUCAAUCGGGGCAUGGACUCUACAAGGUGUCGAGAGCAUUCUACAGGGAUGCUGGCCCAUGUUAACUCCAAUGCUUCCCACAGUUGUGUUGUGUCAAGUUGGCUGGAUGUCAUUUAGGUGGUGGACCAUUCUUGAUACACACAGGAAACUGUUGAGCAUGAAAAACCCAGCAACUCUGAAUGGCACACAUACACAAGCCAUGUCUCAAAGCUUAAAGAUCCUUCUUUAACCUGUCUCUUUCACGUCAUCUACACUGAUUAAGUGGAUUUAACAAGUGACAUCAAUAAGGGAUCAUAGCUUUCACCUGGAUUCACCUGGUCAGUCUGCCAUGGAAUGUGCAGGUGUUCUGUUUUGUAUACUCAGUGUAUAUGUAGCUAUGUAGCCAAGUUAUCGUUUCUGAUUGUGUAGUUUUCUAUUAUUUAUAUAUUUUUCUCUCUGCAUUGUUGGGAAGGGCCCGUAAAUGUUAGUCUAUAGCUGUUGUUUACGAAGCACGUGACAAAUAAAAUGUGAUUUGAGUAAUAGCCUAGAAUAAACGAUGUAGGAUAAUGUGUUGCAUCAGAAGAGCAAUAACCUACUGCUGUUAGCG